rnacentral:tRNA from 1 species
CAGAGUAUAGUUUAUUAUAAAAUAUUAAUUUUGGAGAUUAGAGAGGGGGUUUAAUACCUUUACUUUGA